rnacentral:RNase_P_RNA from 1 species
GGAGUGGGUCAGAUGACCGCGUGUGUUCCCUGCCUUGCAGUGGGGCAGCGCAUGAGGAAAGUCCGGACUCCGCAGGGCAGGAUGCCAGCUAACGGCUGGGCGGGGCGACCCGACGGAAAGUGCCACAGAAAAGAAAACUCCCCGAUUGUUCCCACCGGAUCAAUCGGAGAAAAGCUGAAACGGUGCGGUAAGAGCGCACCAGCGUAUCGGCAACGAUGCGGCUUGGCAAACCCCAUCCGGAGCAAAGGCAAAUAGGAGCGCGAUGGACUGGCCCGGUCUGCGCUCGGGUUGCCUGCUCGAGGGUGUUGGUGACAGCACUCCCAGAUAAAUGGUCAUCCAUGACAGAAUCCGGCUUACCGACCCACUCCAGCC